rnacentral:rRNA from 1 species
CAGUAGCCACGGGAAUACGAAGGGGGCUAGCGUUGCUCGGAAUGACUGGGCGUAAAGGGCGCAUAGGCGGAUGGCACAGUCAGACGUGAAAUUCCCGGGCUUAACCUGGGGGCUGCAUUUGAUACGUGUUGUCUAGAGUGAGGAAGAGGGUUGUGGAAUUCCCAGUGUAGAGGUGAAAUUCGUAGAUAUUGGGAAGAACACCGGUGGCGAAGGCAGCAACCUGGUCCUUUACUGACGCUGAGGCGCGAAAGCGUGGGGAGCAAACAGGAUUAGAGACCCCGGUAGUCCCUGUCUCUUAUAC